AACGAACGCUGGCGGCAUGCCUAACACAUGCAAGUCGAACGCUCGGCUUCGGCCGGGAGUGGCGCACGGGUGAGUAGCGCGUGGGAACCUGCCCUUCAGUGGGGGAUAACCGAGGGAAACCUCGGCUAAUACCGCAUACGUCCGGGGGUGACCCUGGGGAAAGAUUAUCGCUGAAGGAGGGCCCGCGUCGGAUUAGGUAGUUGGUGGGGUAACGGCCUACCAAGCCUGUGAUCCGUAGCUGGUCNGAGAGGAUGAUCAGCCACACUGGGACUGAGACACGGCCCAGACUCCUACGGGGAGGCAGCAGGUGGGGAAUAUUGGACAAUGGGCGCAAGCCUGAUCCAGCAAUGCCGCGU
rnacentral:rRNA from 1 species